rnacentral:tRNA from 1 species
UCCCCUGUAGCUCAAUGGUAGAGCAUUCGACUGUUAAUCGAAGGGUUCGUGGUUCGAGUCCACGCGGGGGAG